rnacentral:lncRNA from 1 species
AUGACUGGGAGGCAUCAGGAAACUUACAAUCAUAGCAGAAGGCAAAGGGAAAACAAGCAUGUCUUACCAUGGUGGAGCAGGAGAGAGGGAGAGAGAAGGGGAAGCUGUGUUUGCAGACUACGAACAGAGAAAUUGUCUCCACUGCUCACUGACCCUAACCCACUGGGUAUCUGGCUAAAGUAGAAGAGCCACACACCUGAGGGGAGGGUGCUUGCUCUGAACACACAGCUUCAAGGACGUUCUGCUCAAAUGGAAACGCUCUAGACUGUAGCUAAGACUUUCAUUCAUCCAGAUAUUUACAUUUUGAUGGACUUCCCUCCUGAUAUUUUUGUCAAUAAAGGAGAAAAUCAUUUCUCCUUAGAGCAUUUGGAAUUGGAAAAAUAAACGUGCUGAGUGCAGCUGAGACUUCUAAGCCUUUGACAUUUUUCAGUGGCAGGAUGGAGGGUCCGCAUGGAUGGUCAGACUUGAGGGCUUGAACACUUAGUCUGAGCGUCUGCAAAACCUGGAUACUCACUCCAUAUACCACCUGCUAGGAACUAAUUUUCUUGUCAUUUCAUAAAAAAGAUUCCCAAUCUUCUAGACAAGUUGCAAGAA